rnacentral:rRNA from 1 species
UACGGAAGGCAGCAGUGGGGAAUAUUGCACAAUGGGCGAAAGCCUGAUGCAGCUAUGCCGCGUGUAUGAAGAAGGCCUUAGGGUUGUAAAGUACUUUCAUCGGGGAGGAAAAACAAAACUAAUAAUUUUAUUUCUUGACGUUACCCGAAAAAGAAGCACCGGCUAACUCCGUGCCAGCAGCCGCGGUAAUACGGAGGGUGCCAGCGUUAAUCAGAAUUACUGGGCGUAAAGAGCACGUAGGUGGUUUUUUUAAGUCAGAUGUGAAAUCCCUGGGCUUAACCUAGGAACUGCAUUUUGAAACUGAAAUACUAGAGUAUCGUAGAGGGAGGUAGAAUUCUAGGUGUAGCGGUGAAAUGCGUAGAUAUCUGGAGGAAUACCUGUGGCGAAAGCGGCCUCCUAAACGAAUACUGACACUGAGGUGCGAAAGCGUGGGGAGCAAACAGGGAUUAGAUACCCGU